GGGAGAGAGUUCAGGAGCUAGUGAAAGUUAGGGGGCCCGGAGGGCAUGAAGCGGGGCCGGGAACAAGAGGGGGGGGUAUAAAUCUGCUGAGGGCCGGAAUGGAGCUGGAGGGCUGGUUCUUGGGGAAGGAGAUCAGAUGUCAUAGCAUGGGGAAGCUGCUGGGCCAGCCACAGGAAGCAGAUGCAGCGGGCUAUAGGCACCCCGGGUGGGCUGCCGCUCUGGGGGUUUGGUUCAGGCAAAAAGAUGGAGAAAGUGGGGCUCAAGACUGAAGAAACAAGAGUGAGUAGGGUGCCCAGCUCACCUGCUCACCAUCCUCUUCUUGGGGUCUUUCAGCCUCCAUCCCGGGCCGCUUGUUUGACCUCUCUAGCCCCAGGGGAGGGCAGAGACUGGGAAAAACUCCAGCUGCAGGAGUGAAGCCAGAUCCUGACUGAGGAGGACUCGGGCCUGCUCAUCCCUGGACUCUUAGUAACCCCUUGGCCUGCUACUAUACUCCCCUCCAUCCCCGCCUCCCCUUUAGCUCUUUUCUGUCAACACCGGAACUAGCUACACAGGAAGUGGUUUCACUCCUCAGGAUCCCCCUCCCCCAAACCAGGUCUCUUCCCUCCCUAAGACUGAUCCUGAUGUGGGAUCCUGCUCUUCUCACCUUCUCCCUUGACUUACUGGGACAGGGAAGGGCAUGGUUCUAGUUGGACCUAGGAUGCUCUGCUCUCCAGUACAGGCUUAUCCCCUAACACUGGUCCAACACAGGGGUUGGGAACUGGGGGUUGAAUGGUUGUCCUCAAGCUGUUUACAGUCAGUGUAGGGGAUCAGAUGUGCACUAAUGUAAGAGAAGAUACUCUGAGCUACCACAGACACCGGUGACUGUGCCUCGGGUCAUGAAAGUGGGAUACAGAAAUGGGAGAGAGGACCACAGGCCUGGCCUGGCCUUUGAUCAAUGCUAGCCAGGCUGGAGCAGGACAGACAUUUGGGGGUCUUCAAACAGCCCAUGUGACUGGGUUUCAGCUCCGUGGCUUGGAGCAUGAAAGGAGCCUUGGUUCCGAUACCUAAUGCCUUGCAAUCUUAGGCAAAUCGGAUCUUUGUGCCUCACUUUGUGGAAGAAUGAAUUGGGCUUUAA